rnacentral:rRNA from 1 species
GAUGAACGCUGGCGGCGUGCCUAAUACAUGCAAGUCGAGCGAACAGACGAGGAGCUUGCUCCUCUGACGUUAGCGGCGGACGGGUGAGUAACACGUGGAUAACCUACCUAUAAGACUGGGAUAACUUCGGGAAACCGGAGCUAAUACCGGAUAAUAUAUUGAACCGCAUGGUUCAAUAGUGAAAGACGGUUUUGCUGUCACUUAUAGAUGGAUCCGCGCCGCAUUAGCUAGUUGGUAAGGUAACGGCUUACCAAGGCUACGAUGCGUAGCCGACCUGAGAGGGUGAUCGGCCACACUGGAACUGAGACACGGUCCAGACUCCUACGGGAGGCAGCAGUAGGGAAUCUUCCGCAAUGGGCGAAAGCCUGACGGAGCAACGUCGCGUGAGUGACGAAGGUCUUCGGAUCGUAAAACUCUGUUAUUAGGGAAGAACAAAUGUGUAAGUAACUAUGCACGUCUUGACGGUACCUAAGCAGAAAGCCACGGCUAACUACGU